rnacentral:rRNA from 1 species
GAUGAACGCUGGCGGCGUGCCUAACACAUGCAAGUCGAGCGACCAGACGAGGAGCUUUCUCCUCUGAGGUUAGCGACUGACGGGUGAGUAACACGUGCAUAGCCUACCUCUAAUACUGGGGUAAUAUCGGGAGAAAAGAUCUAAUACCGCAUAAUAUAUCGAACCGCAUUGUUCACUAGUUAAACACGCUUUUUGUGUCACUAAUAGCUGGAUCCGGGUCGCAUUAGUUAGUUGGUAAGGUAACGGCUUAGCAAGGCUACGAUGCGUAGCCGAUCUGAGAGGGUGAUCAGCCACACUGGAACUGAGACACGGUCCAGACUCCUACGGGAGGCAGCAGUGGGGAAUCUUGCGCAAUGGGCGAAAGCGUGAUGGAGCAAUGCCGCGUGAGUGAUGAAGGACUUCGGGUGGUAAAGCUCUGUUGUUAGGAAAGAACAAAAGUGCGUGUAACUAUGCACGUAUUGACGGUACCUAAAGAAAAAGCCACGGCUAACUACGUG